rnacentral:rRNA from 1 species
GAUGAACGCUGGCGGCGUGCUUAACACAUGCAAGUCGAACGGAAAGGCCGAGCUUUUUCUGUGGGCUCGUGGGGCGCGGGUGAGUAAAACACGAGAAACACCCCCCCGUCUCUGGGAUAUAAGUUGGAGAAACCGUGUAUAACAGGGUAUAAGAUCUCCUGGUGCGGUGUGGGGGUUGGAAGAUUUCGCGGUUUGGGAUGGGCUCGCGGCCUAUCAGCUUGUUGGUGGGGUAAUGGCUCACCAAGGCUUUGACGGGUAGCCGGCCUGAGAGGGUGACCGGCCACACUGGGACUGAGAUACGGCCCAGACUCCUACGGGAGGCAGCAGUGGGGAAUAUUGCACAAUGGGCGGAAGCCUGAUGCAGCAACGCCGCGUGAGGGAUGACGGCCUUCGGGUUGUAAACCUCUUUUGGCUGGGAAGAAGCGAGAGUGACGGUAACUGGUAAAAAAGCGCCGGCUAACUACGUG